rnacentral:rRNA from 1 species
GGAUCAUUAUCGAGUG